GAAUGCGCCGCUGAUCCUAAACAAGUUUGCCAGCCAUGCUUUUCUCAUGGCUCCCGCACAAUGGCCCGUUUUCUGCCCACCUGCCGAUUAUGCUUAAUUAGGCGAGGAGUUGAUUAAUUUGAGGAGAAGGUGUCCAUAAUUUAAGUUGCAUUUGAGAGGAGAUCACCCCAACAACUUUUAUAGUGGCAUUUAUCAUUUAGAACCUGGGAGAGGAGUUAUUUGGAGGGGCCCAGACAGAUACAAGCAGUUGUUCAGCACUAACACCCCUGCACCACAUAUGCAGCCACAAAGGCCUACCUCGUAACUGCAGAAGCUGUGUCUGAACCUGUCCACACCACCAUCUGUAACCAGUGACUUCUGAAAGAGUGACCUGCUGAUUCUCCAAUGUCUCCAUUUAAUUUGGGUACUUCUGCAGCAUGAGAUUACACAACAGCCUGAGAGGGCUGCUCUGAAUCUGAGGAGUAGGAAUGGCUGGAGGGAGAGCUUCUUAGUGCUGAUUUUUCUGAAAUAUUUACAGCUUUUUUUCAUACCUAAGAAUUUCUUCUGUAACAUAUGGAGGGAGUGGCCACCAAAAAUAAGCUCUUUCUAUUGAGUCUGGCUCCAGAAACCAUGUUUUUUCCACAUACACAGAGCCUCUGUGAAGUAGCUCAAAAUUAUGAUGCCAACAACAGAAGCUUGAUGAAAUGUUGCUUUAAAAUCCAUGUCAUAACUACUAUGUAUAUGUGUUUGUGCAUCUGUAUAUUGGCACCUACUCUGCAAGGCUGGAUGACAACUCUCCCAAAGCAGUUAGAAGGCUGAGUUUUAAGUCAAGAUCUUGCUAAGCAGCUUCAGAAACUAAGAAAUAUCCAUAGCCCAUGUUUACACCAAGCAGGUCUACCUCCAGUCCUGAAGUUCAAAGAAAGUUAUUUCUCUGGUGCUGCCUAUGUAAGUGACAUAGCUGUCAAUCACCUGAAAACCAGCUUGUAUUUUAAGCUUAAAUGAGACCUCAGGAUCAAAGUUCUAUAGUUCCUACCCAAAUGCAGCACAUGAUGCACAAAUUUCUGAUCCACAUACUUCAUGUGCCUGAGAAGCCAGUUAGCAGAAGAAUGUACACAGGUGCAUAGACUUUUUAUAUAAUUUCAAACAUCUUUCAUCUUAAAGACCUGUUAAGUAACUAUUCUCUAUCAGUAUCUGGGUUUCAGAAAAGAUGCCUGAUCAACUGCCUUGCUCAGGAGUAAGAGGGUUAUUGUAAUUAUCUUGUUUGCAAGAAAAAUAAGAACAUUUAUCUCAUUUUAGGUUAGCAGAAGGAAUAGAAAUUGUGAAAUUUAUCAUUAGCCCAAAUGUAAUUUUAUUUUGCUGAUGAAUAAAUGUUGAAUGCCUGACCUUUGUGCUAGUAUUGUUCCCAUUAUUUCUGUAGGGAUUUUAUAUUAAAUUUUCCAUUAAAUGUUGGAAUUUUUCAAGAUAUUUGACCGACCCAAAUAAAAACAAACCACCUUACAUGUCCUGCAUUAUAACAUUUUGAG